rnacentral:rRNA from 1 species
UACGUAGGGGGCAAGCGUUGUCCGGAAUCAUUGGGCGUAAAGAGCGUGUAGGCGGCCAGAUAAGUCCGCUGUGAAAUCUCGAGGCUCAACUUCGAGCUGUCGGUGGAAACUGUCUGGCUAGAGUCCGGAAGAGGAGAAUGGAAUUCCUGGUGUAGCGGUGAAAUGCGUAGAUAUCGGGAGGAACACCAGUGGCGAAGGCGACUACCUGGCCUGUUCUUGACGCUGAGGCGCGAAAGCUAGGGGAGCAAACGGG